rnacentral:rRNA from 1 species
CCUACGGGAGGCAGCAGUAGGGGAUCUUCGGCAAUGGACGAAAGUCUGACCGAGCAACGCCGCGUGAGUGAAGAAGGUUUUCGGAUCGUAAAACUCUGUUGGUAGAGAAGAACGUUGGUGAGAGUGGAAAGCUCAUCAAGUGACGGUAACUACCCAGAAGGGGACGGCUAACUACGUGCCAGCAGCCGCGGUAAUA